CCUACGGGGGGCAGCAGUGAGGAAUAUUGGUCAAUGGACGAGAGUCUGAACCAGCCAAGUAGCGUGAAGGAUGACUGCCCUAUGGGUUGUAAACUUCUUUUAUAUGGGAAUAAAAUGUUCCACGUGUGGGAUUUUGUAUGUACCAUAUGAAUAAGGAUCGGCUAACUCCGUGCCAGCAGCCGCGGUAAUACGGAGGAUCCGAGUGUUAUCCGGAUUUAUUGGGUUUAAAGGGAGCGUAGGUGGAUUGUUAAGUCAGUUGUGAAAGUUUGCGGCUCAACCGUAAAAUUGCAGUUGAAACUGGCAGUCUUGAGUACAGUAGAGGUGGGCGGAAUUCGUGGUGUAGCGGUGAAAUGCUUAGAUAUCACGAAGAACUCCGAUUGCGAAGGCAGUUCACUGGACUGCAACUGACACUGAGGCUCGAAAGUGUGGGUAUCAAACAGGAUUAGAUACCCUAGUAGUC
rnacentral:rRNA from 1 species